rnacentral:rRNA from 1 species
UACGUAGGUGGCAAGCGUUGUCCGGAUUUACUGGGCGUAAAGCGAACGCAGGCGGAUCUUUAAGUAGGAAGUGAAAGGUUGGAGCUCAACUCUGACACUGCUCCCUAUACUGGAGAUCUUGAGUUCUGGAGAGGAAAGCGGAACGACACGUGUAGCGGUGAAAUGCGUUGAUAUGUGUCGGAACACCGAUGGCGAAAGCAGCUUUCUGGACAGCAACUGACGCUGAGGUUCGAAAGCCAAGGGAGCGAACAGG